UUUGUGUAAAGAUUAGAACUCAUUUUUGCACAGAACAACGAAAACAACUGUGGAUUUUGUCCUUCAUCACUUCCAUUGAAAAAGCAUUAGGAAGACAAUCUAGUAGGACUGCCUGCCUUGUUGUUUGUGUGUACUACAUUUUACAGUAGUCUUUGAUAUAGAGCCGUCAGUCAAUUUGCAGCAUUAUCACUAAACAGCUACACAAGAGAAAUACAUCGGGCUUCUGUGCAAGAAAUCCUAAAUCACAGGCUUAACAGAUGAAGCCAGAAUUACCUUAAAGGAAGUAAAUCUGCCAUAUAGUUCAAACAGUUAUGUUUCUAUGCAUUGCAAUGCUUUUUUACUGCUGCGUAAGAUACAAUAGCUGGGACUUUAU